UUUGGAUUGAUGACAACAUUGCAUGGAGUUCCAGGUUAUUGAGAGAUACGCUCUUUGUGAUUUACACACAUGUAAGUGUGACCAAUAAAUGUGAUUUUGUACUUUUUAUAACAAACUUCACUAUUUUUGUUUUCCUUUAUUUUUAUAUAUCCUAUGAGGUGAUUCUCUAACUUAUCCAUCGGAUUACAUACUGCCCCUGAGUGGGCGAGAAGCCCAGUC